UACAGAGGGUGCGAGCGUUAAUCGGAAUUACUGGGCGUAAAGCGCACGUAGGUGGCGACGUAAGUCGGGUGUGAAAGCCCCGGGCUCAACCUGGGAAUUGCAUUCGAGACUGCAUUGCUGGAGUACGGAAGAGGCGGGCGGAAUUCACGGUGUAGCGGUGAAAUGCGUAGAUAUCGGGAGGAACAUCAGUGGCGAAGGCGGCCCUCUGGUCCAGUACUGACACUCCAGUGCGGAAGCGUAGGGAGCAAACAGG
rnacentral:rRNA from 1 species